CGAACCUUUCCUACUUGAGCUAGGGCCAAAGCUUUUGUCUUGGAAAUGCUUGGAUUCUGCUUUUACCGCAAGCUUUUCCACCGACUGUUCGAGUGUGUGGAUUUGCUCAGAAAGAAGAAUUCCGUUCAAUGAGUUUCAUUUCAUGUGUAUCAUUUUUUUCUUCUUUUUUCUCUUUUACCUUCACAGCACUUCAGCUCAACUGUGGCAACUACUUGAUUUAUCAGGAAAAAAUAUCAGUGAAAGUAUCUGUUCUUCCUUGUUUUUCAAACACAAUCUUUGAUUGGGAAUUAAGAGAGUUGUAUCAGAUCCAGAGAGAGAUCAGAAGAGAAGGCCGGCUGCAAAUAAGUUGGUGGGUAGACAAAAUAGAUGUGGCGAUGGCUGGAUAUGAUCAGCCGGGUCAAGGUUCUCGCUACUUCCAUCAGAGACCUUCAUCGAUUGCUGUACAACAACAUCAAUCAACUCAGCUUUCCCCAGAUUCGAAAGACUCCAAAGAAGACGACGACGAGUACAAAACUGACUUAGACGCUGCUGCUUCUGCUUCCUCCAAUCGUCGUCCUCGUGGUCGUCCUGCUGGUUCCAAGAACAAACCAAAACCACCAAUUAUAAUCACUCGAGACAGCCCCAAUGCCCUUCAAUCACUCGUCCUUGAAGUCUCUGCGGGCGCUGACAUCAUGGAGAGCUUGUCAAAUUAUGCUAGAAGAAGAGGAAGAGGCAUUUGUGUUCUCAGUGGCAGUGGUACAGUUUCAAAUGUUACCCUAAGGCAACCAGCCGCUCCUUCUGGAAGUGUAGUCACUCUACACGGUAGGUUUGAGAUUCUUUCUCUUUCUGGGACAGUGCUUCCACCGCCGGCACCACCCAGCGCCGGUGGACUGUCGAUAUAUUUGUCCGGAGGACAAGGGCAGGUAGUGGGAGGAAGUGUGGUGGGGCCUUUGUUAGCAUCUGGUCCAGUUAUUUUAAUGGCUGCAUCGUUUGCAAAUGCAGUCUUUGAAAGGUUACCCUUGGAUGAAGAAGAAGCUGGGGGUGUUCAAGUUCAGCCAACGGCAUCACAGUCUUCAGGUGUGACAGGUGGAGGACAGCUCGGUGAAGGCGGAGGGAAUGACGGUGGUGGUGGCGGUGGAGGUAGCGGUGGGUCUUUCUAUCACAUGGGAGGAGGAAAUGUGGGGAAUUAUCCCUUUUCAGGUGAUUUGUUCGGAUGGGGUGGUGCUGGAAGUGCCUCCAGGCCUCCAUUCUAGAGAGAGGUGCAUGGAAAUUUGACAUUUUUUGAGACUCUCCCCUGAUAAAAUGAAGCUGUAAAUUCAUGGAGAAUCUGACGGAAACCGAUGAAAAGCUUUGAAGCAAUGGAUUUACAGGCUCAAGUAAUCAUAAGGGGAAGAAGCAGAAACUACCCACAUUUUCUAUACCAACCAAAUCCUCUCCAAAGCUUAUGGUGAGUCAUGGAUGCAUGAUGAAGACAGUAUGUACGAAUAACAGUAAUAAGUUAUAGUUUUAGAGAUGUAUAUACUGUCAUUUAAUUUGUG